rnacentral:rRNA from 1 species
AGUGAACGCUGGCGGUAGGCCUAACACAUGCCAGUCGAACGGCAGCACAGUAAGAGCUUGCUCUUACGGGUGGCGAGUGGCGGACGGGUGAGGAAUACAUCGGAAUCUACUUUUUCGUGGGGGAUAACGUAGGGAAACUUACGCUAAUACCGCAUACGACCUACGGGUGAAAGCAGGGGAUCUUCGGACCUUGCGCGAUUGAAUGAGCCGAUGUCGGAUUAGCUAGUUGGCGGGGUAAAGGCCCACCAAGGCGACGAUCCGUAGCUGGUCUGAGAGGUUGAUCAGCCACACUGGAACUGAGACACGGUCCAGACUCCUACGGGAGGCAGCAGUGGGGAAUAUUGGACAAUGGGCGCAAGCCUGAUCCAGCCAUACCGCGUGGGUGAAGAAGGCCUUCGGGUUGUAAAGCCCUUUUGUUGGGAAAGAAAAGCAGCAGGUUAAUACCCCGCUGUUCUGACGGUACCCAAAGAAUAAGCACCGGCUAACUUCGUG